AUGAUUAGAGGAGCUGGGCUCCUUGCGAGCUCAACCUAUUCUCAAACUUUCAAUGGGUGAGACGUCUCGCUGGCUUCACUGCAGCGACGACUCUGAAUCCGAGUGCCCAGUGGGCCACUUUUGGUAAGCAGAACUGGCGAUGCGGGAUGAACCGCAUGUCGAGCUAAGGUGCCUAAGCGGACGCAAAUCAGAUACCAUGAAAGGUGUUGAUUGCUCACGACAGCAGGACGGUGGCCAUGGAAGUCGGCACCCGCUAAGGAGUGUGUAACAACUCACCUGCCGAAGCAAUCAGCCCUGAAAAUGGAUGGCGCUAAAGCGUUCCACCGAUGCUCGACCGUCGUCGGCAUGCGACGCGCUUGCCGCGUCUGAAGCCACGACGAGUAGGGCGGCGCAGUGGUGAGCGUUGAAGGCGUAGCCGUGAGGCUAGCUGGAGCCGCCAUUGGUGCAGAUCUUGGUGGUAGUAGCAAAUACACAAGCAAGAUCCUUGUGGACCGAUGUGGAGAAGGGUUCCGCGCGAACAGUACUUGGACGUGGGUGAGUCGGCCCUAAGCCAACGGGUAAUUCCCGCAUCCCGU
rnacentral:rRNA from 1 species